CGAGAGGAACCGCAGGUUCAGACAAUUGGUAUAUGUGCCUGGUCGAAAGGCCAAUGGUGCGAAGUUACCAUCUGAGGGACUAAGACUGAACGCCUCUAAGUCUGAAUCCCGUUCAUAUUUGCAACGGUACAUUCCGUAUCCAACACGUGGCUGGGCAAGCUUACAUUUUCCUUUUGGUGUUUGGACUGGACCACGUGUUCGUCUGGGCCCAUUAGGUCUGGUGUUAUGCCAGAACAAUGACCUUAAAUUAUGCUCCGGAUUUCGGGGUGUAGGGGUCGACACGAUAUCUAAUUGUGGUAUGAGCGUGUAAAUACUAAAUCGUUUGUAGACGACUUAAUGUUUUGUCGGGGAGAUGUAA
rnacentral:ncRNA from 1 species